rnacentral:rRNA from 1 species
AACGAACGCUGGCGGCAUGCCUAACACAUGCAAGUCGAACGAGACCUCCGUGUUUAGCUGCGCUCGGGGGCGGAACGCGGGGGAAGCUGCACGUAGGUACGGAAUACCUCCCUGUAGGGGGUGCUAAUGCAGGAGAAGGUAUUCGGACAAAGGAUUUAUCGCCUUUGGCUGGGCCCUGGUUGGUUUAGCUGGUUGGUAGGGUAAAAGCCUACCAAGGCGACGAUCCAUAGCUGGUCUGAGAGGCUGCUCCGCCACGCUGGGACUGCGACACGGCCCAGACUCGUACGCGAGGGAGCAGUGGGGUAUACUGGACGAUGGGCGAAAGCCUGAUCCCGCAAUGCCGCGUGAGUGAUGAUGGCGUUAGGGUAGUGCAGCUGUUUUAUCCGGGGCGAUAAUGACGGUACCGGGAGAAUAAGCACCGGCUAACUCCGUG